GACAGAGGGGGCAAGCGUUGUUCGGAAUUACUGGGCGUAAAGGGCGCGUAGGCGGCCUUGUAAGUCGGACGUGAAAUCCCCGGGCUCAACCCGGGAACUGCGUCCGAUACUGGAAGGCUUGAAUCCGGGAGAGGGAUGUGGAAUUCCAGGUGUAGCGGUGAAAUGCGUAGAUAUCAAGAGGAACACCUGAGGUGAAGACGGGUUGCUGGGCCAACACUGACGCUGAGGCGCGAAAGCCAGGGGAGCAAACGGG
rnacentral:rRNA from 1 species